rnacentral:tRNA from 1 species
AGAAGCGUGGCAGAGUGGUUUAAUGCGUAGGUCUUGAAAACCUGUGUGAAUUUAUUCACCGUGAGUUCAAAUCUCACCGCUUCUA